UAAUCUCUCUCUUUUUUCUUUCUUUUUCUUUUCUUUUCUUUUCAUUUCUUUUAUCUUCAUUUUCGUCAAUUCGAUUUUAUCGUUUUAUUUUGAGAGCCUAAUCGAAAUUCGUUUUUUAAAAACGAAUCAACGAACGGAUGGUAUGUGGGGAUAAGUGAAUGAACGAUUUGAUUUUUCUUUUCUUUUUUUUUUAUUCUUUGCACAAUCGUGAGACGCAUGUGACCGUGGAUCACUUUGAAAAGUGUUCGUUCUAUCGCAAAUCAUUCGAAUAUUUCGUCGUUACGAAAAUAGAGAAUUAGAAUUCUCUAGUCCACCGUGUAAGCAACAGUAAAAUGUUGAAAAUGUAUAUGGUGAACGAUACAUUCGAUUCAGAUCGAUAUCAAACGAUUGCAAUUUGAUAGGAUCCUUCGCGUAAAAUUUUUUUAAUGUUUUACGUACUUGUUUGUUCUAAUUUUAAAACGUAGUAAAUAUUAUCUUAUGGCAUUGGGUUAAUUCGAGUAGAAAUGUUUGUUAAAAUAGAAUUGUUGUUUUUUUGACAUUGCCCAAGUACAUAUUUUGCCUGAUCGAGUAACAAAGCAGGAGACUGUGUUGUUUUCAAACAACAGGAAAACAUAGGAAAGAUUUUCCUUUGCGUUCUUUGCCAGGAAGCUUUCCGAAUGUCUUUACAAUGCCAAUGCGGUACUGAUGUGAGGAAAUUCGUUAGAAUGUUUACCAGACUUUUAAUAGAAUAUUUAAUAGGAUUUUAUCUAUCAACGUUGUUAGUACACAUUUAAGUAUUUUGAUUAUUAUAUUAUUUAUGUCGUUAGUACGAAUAAUUUCAAAUAUAUACGAUAUAAUCUCAAUAUUUUCUUCUUGUUCGUCAAAAUUCUCGGUGUAAAAUUAACUACAUCUUAAGUUGAUAAAAUAUAAUUAAAUUAGAGAUGUUUACGAAUAACUCGUUGAUUCUCAAUGGUCCAAUGAUUUAUGAAUGUGAUAAACAAUAAAGUAAACAAGUAGCACAACGUAAAUUGUACAUUUAACGAAGUUGGAUCAAUGCGUUUGGAGAACGUCCAAGGUGUAUACUCUUAAUGACAUCUUGAGAUAUAAGCGAAUCACUAGAUAUGAUUCAUCGGUAUGGUGAAAACAUUUGAAGAUAUAGAAAUGAAAUGAAAUGAAAUGAAAUGAAAUGAAAUGAAAUCGACUACAAUGGGACUAGAAAAUAUUGAACGAUCCUUGAUACGUCAAGUCCUACUUUGAAACUGAUACCUGGCCAAGUUUUUCAAGUUACUAUUUAUCAUUCAACCAUUUUAUAAUAAUCUAUAAAGUUUGAAAAGUUUGUGCUAAUAGAUUUCCCUAAAAUUCCGUGGAAAUGAUUUGACACGACGAUAUAGCCGAGCCAAGUAAGAUUGAUUUAUAUCUGUCAGAUUCAAAAGCAAUGGGACUUUACUGGACAGAAAGAUAGAAACGUUCUUGAUUUAUAAUUUCAACUAAUUUGCAUUAAUGACAUAGUCACAUUUUAGCAACUAAUUUAAUUUAACUAGGUUAUAUUUGUAGAUCUAGAAAGAGACGAGGUCAGUUAUUAAAAAAAAAAAAUAAAUACGUUGUUAUAAACAAGUUUCUACAUUGUUUUGUCGGAAGGGAAUAAGCGUACCGUGCGCGUUAAAUAUUUUUAGUAUUUUUAUCACAAACGGAUAAACAUUGCUCUUACGAGUUUUACGAAAGCAUACGAGUACAGACUUUAUUUCGUCGGUGGAUAACUUUUUGGCUAGUUGCCCAUUUUAAACGCGAGACGUAUAAAACUUCAGACAGGUCUACGUACGUCGAUCCAUAUGUACAUAUAACCGGGUAAGAUCUUCUCGUUUUUCUCCGACUCAUAAAAUACGUUACUUCGCGCUACAAGGCACUUCGCUUCGUCAUCUUGAAUUAUUUUACGACUAUGAACCAUCGUCUCGAAGGAAUAUGUUGAAUUUUGUAGAAAUGAAAUAAUCAGUGGAAUCAUUGAAUUGUUAUUAUUAUUGAGAACCUGUAGAUAACAAUGCUAACAAUGCACUGGUAGCACCCACAGAAAGUAUAUAAUUUACUGCUGGAGAGAAUGCUCUUAAUAUGUAAAAUGAUGAUACUAUGACGAAUGCAAGGAACAAAGCAUUGUUGUAGAAGAUAGAGAAGGUCGUCGCUUCAUAAUCAGCUACUUCAUUUUUCUUCCACAAAAUCCUUAAAAAAAGUACACAAUAAUGUAUUAAUUUUAAUUUGGAAAUAGUAAAUACUCCAUAUAAAAUUAUAGACAAAUUAAUACCUUUCAUCCUUUUCUUUUUUACUCAUUUUCUUAUCCUCUGCAAGUUUGCGAUUCAUCUCUUUAGUAACUGCAUCUUCUCUCUUUACUGCGAUCUAUUAAAUAAAAACAUGAUUUAAGUACAAAGAAAUUUUAUGUUAAUAGAAAUACAUAAUUAAAAAAUUUAACGUACCUUGUGCUUCAGAAUAAACUUUGUAUUCUUAUAUGCAAGAGCAAGAGUAUAUGUGCUUAUUAAAGUGACCAAAACGAAAGAUAUCAAA